UACGUAGGGUGCAAGCGUUAAUCGGAAUUACUGGGCGUAAAGCGUGCGCAGGCGGUGAUGUAAGACAGUUGUGAAAUCCCCGGGCUCAACCUGGGAACUGCAUCUGUGACUGCAUUGCUGGAGUGCGGCAGAGGGGGAUGGAAUUCCGCGUGUAGCAGUGAAAUGCGUAGAUAUGCGGAGGAACACCGAUGGCGAAGGCAAUCCCCUGGGCCUGAACUGACGCUGAGGCGCGAAAGCGUGGGGAGCAAACAGG
rnacentral:rRNA from 1 species